UACGGGGGGAGCAAGCGUUGUUCGGAUUUACUGGGCGUAAAGGGCGCGUAGGCGGCCACCGCAAGUCGGUUGUGAAAUCUCUGGGCUUAACCCAGAAAGGUCAACCGAUACUGCGGGCUAGAGUGCAGAAGGGCAACUGGAAUUCUCGGUGUAGAGGUGAAAUUCGUAGAUAUGGGAGGAACACCGGUGGCGAAGGCGGCCACCUGGACGGAUACUGACGCUGAGACGCGAAGCGUGGUAGCAACAGG
rnacentral:rRNA from 1 species